UUUAAUGGUUAUAAGUGUCGGUUUGAACAUUAGUGCGUUUCGUGCUCGUUUCCUCUCGAACGGACCAUUUCGGUUCGUUUCACUUGUUUCUUGAAGUCUAUUCCUUGAUUUCAGGUAUCCGUUGGAUAGAGGGUUCGAAUACAAAGCCGAUGGUACUUUCCAGAGCGAAAUCGGAGUCCGAAUGAAGAAAUUAUGACCGAAGGAAGUCGAUCAAUGUUGUUGUUGACCAGUUAACGAUGUGUCACAGCCGUGAUGGGUAACAUGUCACGGCCGUGACGCCUAGUCUGGGCAGCAACAUUAAUUCUGCCCCAGACGCGAUUUUAGAAGGGGGAGGAGAGAAAAAUGACGAACUAAACAAAAAAUUGAUGAAGGGAAAGUGCUUGGGAGCCUCGGAACGUUAUGGAAAUGAAGAUUUGAAGCCGAAUAGUCGAGGAAUCGAAGUCCAACGGAGGAUCAACCUUCUAUUUCAAAGGAUUGGUGGUUCGAAACUUUUUCUACAUCUUCCAUGGAGAAAUAGGUUUUCAUCUUGUUUGGGUUUUGUGAAUUUCUUUGGAUUUGUGGAAUUGUUCUUGUGUGUAGUGAGAAAAUUGUGGAUUCAUGUUGUUUGAUGAUGUG
rnacentral:lncRNA from 1 species